rnacentral:RNase_P_RNA from 1 species
GCACGAUGGCGGAUAACGUCCGCCCAGGGUGACCUGAGAGAUAGCGCAGCAGAGAACAGACCGCCCGCCCGCAAGGGCAGGCAAGGGUGAAACGGCGGUGUAAGAGACCACCGGGCCACUGGCAACAGACGGUCGCAUGGCAAGCCUCAUCGGGAGCAAGGCCAAGCAGAAGACGUUCGAGGACUGCCCGUCCGAUGUCUUCGGGUAGGCUGCUAGAGCCUGACGGCAACGUCAGGUCGAGAUGGAUGGUCAUCCGUGCCGUUCGGCACGACAGAACCCGGGGUAUAAGAGGUCUCAUCUC